GCUAAUUUAGUUUAAAAAAAACGUUACAUUGUGGAUGUAAAGAUAAAAUUUAUUUUAAUUGGUU
rnacentral:tRNA from 1 species